rnacentral:ribozyme from 1 species
UGGCCCCUAAAUUUAGACUUUCAUUCAACAGCGCUGUCAAAGAACGCGCUCUCAGUCUCGCUGAAUUCUGGGUUGUGGGAUUCGAUGAAUUGAAGAUCGUUUAUAGACGAUGGAACAAGGAUGGAGUAGUUUGAGGCUUGGUGCAAACUUGGAAAACCCUCAGCAAGAAAAUCCUGUGGAAGUUUUUUGGCGUUGCUCAUUCGGCAGCACAUCC